CUUGACGGAGCCCAGCCACAGGGGCUGUUCCCGGUCCUGCCCGUACGUGGACAGCAGCGCCUGCGCCUC
rfam:Streptomyces variegatus strain NRRL B-16380 contig-126, whole genome shotgun sequence.